rnacentral:rRNA from 1 species
GAGCCUGCUUGUGUAGGAUAGGUGGGAGGCUUUGAAGCGUGGACGCCAGUUCGCGUGGAGCCAUCCUUGAAAUACCACCCUGGCAUGCUUGAGGUUCUAACUCUGGUCCGUGAUCCGGAUCGAGGACAGUGUAUGGUGGGCAGUUUGACUGGGGCGGUCUCCUCCUAAAGAGUAACGGAGGAGUACGAAGGUGCGCUCAGACCGGUCGGAAAUCGGUCGUAGAGUAUAAAGGCAAAAGCGCGCUUGACUGCGAGACAGACACGUCGAGCAGGUACGAAAGUAGGUCUUAGUGAUCCGGUGGUUCUGUAUGGAAGGGCCAUCGCUCAACGGA